rnacentral:tRNA from 1 species
GGCUCGGUAGCUUAGUUGUCUAGCGAAUAAGGGUCGUGAGUUCAAAUCUCACCUGAGCUG